rnacentral:misc_RNA from 1 species
AACCUAGCACACCUGCGGUGUGUACCUGCGGAAGGAUCAUUAAAGAUUGACCGAAAGGUCUUAUCUCUAUAUCCCUCACCUCUGUGAACUGUGGACCUCCGGGUCUAUUUAACAAACAUCAGUGUAAUGAACGUAUAUAUCAUUAAACAAAACAAAACUUUCAACAACGGAUCU